rnacentral:lncRNA from 1 species
UAUUGUUGCUCCCACGACUCAUCUCACCAGACAGGGUGUCAUGUUUGAUUGGGAUGAAAAAUGUGAAAAAAGUUUUUUUAAACUUAAGUGUCAACUCUGGUAUUGAUCCUCCAUGAUGAUACCAGACGAUUUUAAAUUUUUUAUGAUGCGUCUCAUGUUUGUUUGGGAUGUUUAUUCAUGCAACAUGGUUAGGUAGUGGGAUGUGUACU